GACGAACGCUGGCGGCGUGCUUAACACAUGCAAGUCGAACGGAAAGGCCCUGCUUUUGUGGGGUGCUCGAGUGGCGAAGGGGUGAGUAACACGUGAGUAACCUGCCCUUGACUUUGGGAUAACUUCAGGAAACUGGGGCUAAUACCGGAUAGGAGCUCCUGCUGCAUGGGGGGGGUUGGAAAGUUGCGGCGGUUGGGGAUGGACUCGCGGGUUAUCCGCUUGUUGGUGGGGUUGUGGCUUACCAAGUCUUUGACUGGUAGCCGGCCUUGGAGGGUGGACGGCGACAAUGGUACUGCGGUAGGGCGCAGUAGGCUAUCGUCGGCAGUGGGGGAAAAUAUGGCACAACGGCGGCACGCGUGAGACGACAGUGCCCGGUGCGGAAUACCCUCUUACGGGGGAAGAACCGCUUUCUCAUUUGAUGAGGCGGGAGUGACGGUAAUUGGUAAAGAAGCACCGGCUAACUACGUG
rnacentral:rRNA from 1 species